GUGGAUGAGGCAUGCAAGUCGAACGAAGUUAAGUAGCAAUACUUAACUUAGUGGCGGAAGGGUUAGUAAUACAUGGGCAACUUGCCUUUAACUUGGGAAUAACGCUUGGAAACGGGCGCUAAUACCGAAUGUGGUGGUUCAGGGCAUCCUGGAUUCAUUAAAGUGGGGGAUCAGCAAUGACCUCGCGGUUAGAGAGAGGCCCAUGGGAUAUCAGCUUGUUGGGGAGGUAAUGGCUCACCAAGGCUAAGACGUCUAGGCGGAUUGAGAGAUUG
rnacentral:rRNA from 1 species